UGGCCUCCUUCCACCCCUACUGCAGUUCAGUAGUACCGGGAAUAUCCACCCCGAUGUGUGCAGUAUGUUACCGACCAUGUUUCCCAACGGUUGGGCGCUCCCCCUCGAUUAGGGUAUUUCGGUCAGCAUCAGGCCUAGCGUCAGACGUUGAGCUGACGCACUUCAGCCUUAGCGAUCAUUAGCACCUAGUCUUACAGUGCCACUUAUGCAAGGGCCCAGAACAUGUGUGGCGGGCAGUGUGGUACCCUCGCCCAAGACGGUCUUCAUCAAUCGGAUUGGCGUUCCUCCCGCUAAUGGUGCCGUCCCAAGCACUGACCCCACUUCAGCAUUGUUCCAUUGGCAUUUCCCGCUUAAGACGUCUAUAGGUAGUGUGACCGCCGG
rnacentral:rRNA from 1 species